UUACUGUUCAAAUACUGAGAAGAGACGUGCGGUGAAGCAAUGACUCGGCUAACUGUGCUAGCAUGCUAGGCAGUGAGAGCGUAUUGCUGUCUCUCUGUGUGUCGCUAUUAAAAUGUUCAAACACUUUUGCUAUAUGAACUGAAUUUCCAUAGUUUAGCUGAUGUAUAUAAUGUACAGUGUUUUUUGUCAACAACUGUAUGUGUGCAGCGUGUUUCUUGUACUGAGCAAUCAUCACACGGCCGUGAAAAGGCGCGAGGUGAGGCACGCAGUUCUCCUGCCUCACGGUAGGGGGCACUCGAGAGUCCAGGGAUUCUUCUUACGACUCCUCGACUGCAGAAUAAGUGACAGCAAGCUACAAUCUGGAGUUAGCAAGUCAAGUGCAGCCAUCCGUUUAUUUUUCCUCUCGUCUGGCCUUACUUUCAAAAUGGAGGCUUACGUGUACAGAGGGAGCGGCGCAUGGACUUCAUUUACAAGUAAAGGGCCGCCGGCUGUGGUUUGGUCAGGCUGGCAGCAGCUGCUGGCAGAGUGGCGUCGGACGCAGACGGUUUGGCCGUCGCAUCCUUCUUCCUCACAUCCCGCGGACUGUCGAGAGAAAGCUCCACUGUGGCUUCUGUCGGACAGGAAAAGAAACCAGGCUUGUAUCGUUACACUGAGUCACGUCAUCGUUUACUCCGCAUCCUGGCCCUGUUAUAAGUUCAUAUAUAAGUCAUGUGUGUUUACAACAGGGUGGCAGAAAUGCCUCAUAGGUGAUAUAAAGUUUAUAUGUGGUGUAAGUUUACAGGGUCAGUGUGCAAACAUAAAAGCAAAGUACUGACAAAUUCUGACAGCAUUUUAUCAAACAUGUUGUUUAGUACACAAAUGGCGAUUUUAUAUUCAUUUAUCAAAUUUGUAAGUUACUUAUGAACCCUUGUAGUGAACUAUAUUUCAGAUUUUUCCACGGGGGGGACAUUUCAUCCUGGACAGAAGGAGUCAGCGUUCAAACCACCAACCCUGUGAUGAAUGGAAAAAUGGAAUUGAAUUUCACUCGGGAUGAUUAAAGUAUCUAUCUAUCAUCUAUCUAUGGCUCCAUCCUCUGAGCUGCAGGCUUUUCUUUUCUUUCUUUUCUUUGCAGGCUUAAGUGCUGGACUCCUGCAAACUGUCAACACUAAUGCUUGUUUCUUUAAUAUGUUUUGCGCUGACAGUGUGCAGGCUAUUCUGGUCUGUCUGGAUGUGAUAAUAAACCUUUUGACCUUGAGGCGACACAAAUAAA